UAGUCCACGCCGUAAACGAUGAGAACUAGUUAUCGGGAGAUUUGACCCUUUCGGUGACGUAGCUAACGCGUUAAGUUCUCCGCCUGGGGAGUACGGUCGCAAGACUAAAACUCAAAGGAAUUGACGGGGGCCCGCACAAGCGGUGGAUCAUGUGGUUUAAUUCGAAGCAACGCGCAGAACCUUACCUAGGUUUGAAAUCCUGAGAACUAAAUAGAGAUAUUAUGGUGCCCUUCGGGGAACUCAGUGACAGGUGCUGCAUGGCUGUCGUCAGCUCGUGUUGUGAAAUGUUGGGUUAAGUCCCGCAACGAGCGCAACCCUUGUCUUUAGUUGCCAUCAUUUAGUUGGGCACUCUAGAGAAACUGCCGGUGACAAACCGGAGAAGGUAAGGAUGACGUCAAGUCAGCAUGCCCCUUACGCUCUGGGCUACACACGUGCUACAAUGGUCGUGACAAAGAGUUGCUAGUCUGCGAAGGCAAGCCAAUCUCAUAAACGCGCCUUAGUUCGGAUUGC
rnacentral:rRNA from 1 species